rnacentral:ncRNA from 1 species
GUGUUGAAGUAAACAGAUCACUUCUAUCUUUCAGAGUUCCUAUAAGUAGAAAUAUCAGCGUUGUACAAAACCAAGUGUAAAACGUCGCUAUAUGCUGGAACAUCCCAUGCAUCCCCUAUGCCGCAAGGUACGGGGUGGGGACAAUCAGCAGGAAACAUCAGCAUCAUGCUGGUGGCUCCUCAGAGACUACACGCGACGGGACGAGCGAAGAAUUAAGAAGUAAGAAUUAAGAAUUAUGAAAAAGGAAUUGUUAUUUAUUCCUUCAUUCUUAAUUCCAAAUUCAUAAUUCCCCCUCGUUCAUGAUAUAGUCCGAUCCCUGUGGCGACACAGGG